rnacentral:rRNA from 1 species
GCCCGUCACACCACGAAAGUCAGGGACGCCCGAAACUCUUCUCUACGAAGAACUAAGGUGAAACUGAUGAUUGGGGUGAAGUCGUAACAAGGUAUCCGUACGGGAACGUGCGGAUGGAACACCUCCUUUCUAGGGAG